AAGCUAUGAUGUGGACAUAAUCUCUUAAGAUCCUUAAACUUGUCACAGGCUUUAUAUAGGGAUUCAUUUUCUUAUUGAGCAAAGGUGGUAAUGUCAUUCCUUAACUU